GUCGUCAGCUCGUGUCGUGAGAUGUUGGGUUAAGUCCCGCAACGAGCGCAACCCUUGCCAUUAGUUGCUACAUUCAGUUGAGCACUCUAAUGGACUGCCGGUGACAAACCGGAGGAAGGUGGGGAUGACGUCAAGUCCUCAUGGCCCUUAUAGGUGGGGCUACACACGUCAUACAAUGGCUGGUACAAAGGGUUGCCAACCCGCGAGGGGGAGCUAAUCCCAUAAAGCCAGUCGUAGUCCGGAUCGCAGUCUGCAACUCGACUGCGUGAAGUCGGAAUCGCUAGUAAUCGUGGAUCAGAAUGUCACGGUGAAUACGUUCCCGGGUCUUGUACACACCGCCCGUCACACCAUGGGAGCGGGUCUCGCCAGAAGUAGGUAGCCUAACCGCAAGGAGGGCGAUUACCACGGUAGGAUUCAUGACUGGGGUGAAGUCGUAACAAGGUA
rnacentral:rRNA from 1 species